rnacentral:rRNA from 1 species
UACGUAGGGGGCAAGCGUUGUCCGGAAUCAUUGGGCGUAAAGCGCGUGUAGGCGGCUUGGUAAGUCCGUUCUGAAAGCCCGGGGCUCAACCCCGGGAGGCGGAUGGAUACUGUCAAGCUUGAGUCCGGAAGAGGCGAGUGGAAUUCCCGGUGUAGCGGUGAAAUGCGCAGAUAUCGGGAGGAACACCAAUGGCGAAGGCAGCUCGCUGGGACGUGACUGACGCUGAGACGCGAAAGCGUGGGGAGCAAACAGG